rnacentral:ncRNA from 1 species
AAACUGGUUUAACCAGAAAGAAAAAAACAAUGGGUCCGCUUUGCGAGUAAUCGCAUUGAAAAAACUGGAUGAAUUGCUGGAACUCUUUGACAGACGAUCAGCAGCCAAGCUCACAGAGUGAGAAGGUUCAGAGACUACCUGAGCUUAUGCGAAUAGGCUUAAUAACAGGAAUUAGCAGAGUAUUAAUAGCUUUGUGAAACAGCGUCCAGCCCCUUUUUAAAGGGUGAUGAUAUAGUCCAAUAAACGUCAAAAUCCGUUG